CAUGCCGCGUGUGUGAGAAGGCCUUCGGGUUGUAAAGUACUUUCAGUCGUGAGGAAGGUGGUGUAGUUAAUAGCUGCAUUAUUUGACGUUAGCGACAGAAGAAGCACCGGCUAACUCCGUGCCAGCAGCCGCGGUAAUACGGAGGGUGCGAGCGUUAAUCGGAAUUACUGGGCGUAAAGCGCAUGCAGGUGGUUUGUUAAGUCAGAUGUGAAAGCCCGGGGCUCAACCUCGGAAUAGCAUUUGAAACUGGCAGACUAGAGUACUGUAGAGGGGGGUAGAAUUUCAGGUGUAGCGGUGAAAUGCGUAGAGAUCUGAAGGAAUACCGGUGGCGAAGGCGGCCCCCUGGACAGAUACUGACACUCAGAUGCGAAAGCGUGGGGAGCAAACAGGAUUAGAUACCCCUGG
rnacentral:rRNA from 1 species